rnacentral:rRNA from 1 species
UACGAGGGGUGCAAGCGUUAUUCGGAAUCAUUGGGCGUAAAGGGUGCGUAGACGGCGCGUUAAGUUUAUUGUUUAAUACUCCAGCCUAACUGGAGACAUGCGAUGAAAACUGGCGUGCUAGAGGGUGAGAGAGAGAAGUGGAAUUCCCGGAGUAGCGGUAAAAUGCGUGGAUCUCGGGAGGAACACCAAUGGCGAAGGCAGCUUCUUGGCUCAUUCCUGACGUUGAGGCACGAAAGCGUGGGGAGCAAACAGG